rnacentral:piRNA from 1 species
GUUGUGCAGAUUCAUUUAACUCUG